rnacentral:rRNA from 1 species
GACGAACGCUGGCGGCGUGCUUAACACAUGCAAGUCGAACGGAAAGGCCCUGCUUUUGUGGGGUGCUCGAGUGGCGAACGGGUGAGUAACACGUGAGUAACCUGCCCUUGACUUUGGGAUAACUUCAGGAAACUGGGGCUAAUACCGGAUAGGAGCUCCUGCUGCAUGGUGGGGGUUGGAAAGUUUCGGCGGUGGGGGAUGGACUCGCGGCUUAUCAGCUUGUUGGUGGGGUAGUGGCUUACCAAGGCUUUGACGGGUAGCCGGCCUGAGAGGGUGACCGGCCACAUUGGGACUGAGAUACGGCCCAGACUCCUACGGGAGGCAGCAGUGGGGAAUAGUGCACAAUGGGCGGAAGCCUGAUGCAGCAACGCCGCGUGCGGGAUGACGGCCUUCGGGUUGUAAACCGCUUUCGCCUGUGACGAAGCGUGAGUGACGGUAAUGGGUAAAGAAGCACCGGCUAACUACGUG